UACGGUAGGAUGCAAACGUUGUCCGGAAUUAUUGGGCGUAAAGAGCGCGCAGGCGGUCUAUCAAGUCAGAUGUGAAAUAUCCCGGCUUAACCGGGGAGGGGUCAUUUGAAACUGGUAGACUAGAGUACAGCAGAGGAUAGCGGAAUUCCCGGUGUAGUGGUGAAAUGCGUAGAUAGUCGGGAGGAACACCAGUGGCGAAGGCGGCUCUCUGGGCCUUACCUGACGCUGAGGAGCGAAAGCGUGGGGAGCAAACAGG
rnacentral:rRNA from 1 species